CUUCGGAUGAAGAGGAUUGUGACUGAGCGGCGGACGGGUGAGUAACGCGUGGGUAACCUGCCUCAUACAGGGGGAUAACAGUUAGAAAUGACUGCUAAUACCGCAUAAGACCACAGCGCCGCAUGGUGCGGGGGUAAAAACUCCGGUGGUAUGAGAUGGACCCGCGUCUGAUUAGCUGGUUGGUAAGGUAACGGCUUACCAAGGCGACGAUCAGUAGCCGACCUGAGAGGGUGACCGGCCACAUUGGGACUGAGACACGGCCCAAACUCCUACGGGAGGCAGCAGUGGGGAAUAUUGCACAAUGGGGGAAACCCUGAUGCAGCGACGCCGCGUGAGCGAAGAAGUAUUUCGGUAUGUAAAGCUCUAUCAGCAGGGAAGAAAAUGACGGUACCUGACUAAGAAGCACCGGCUAAAUACGUGCCAGCAGCCGCGGUAAUACGUAUGGUGCAAGCGUUAUCCGGAUUUACUGGGUGUAAAGGGAGCGUAGACGGAUGGGCAAGUCUGAUGUGAAAACCCGGGGCUCAACCUCGGGACUGCAUUGGAAACUGUUCAUCUAGAGUGCUGGAGAGGUAAGUGGAAUUCCUAGUGUAGCGGUGAAAUGCGUAGAUAUUAGGAGGAACACCAGUGGCGAAGGCGGCUUACUGGACA
rnacentral:rRNA from 1 species